AAGCCAACACCAAGAACAAGCUACCGUGAGCUUGGAGAAGAAGAAAGGCAGCAUCGGGUGAGCUAGGAGAAGAGAGAAAAAAAAAAGAAAAAAAAAAGAAAGGGAACUUUGUUGGAGAGUUAGAGCUCAAGGAUACAUCUCCUCAAAGAAUCGGCCAGCUAGGGGGUAUGAUUAAGGAUUUGAGGUAAACCAAUUUCCUAACUCUUGAUUCUUGUGGUAAAACAUAUGAUUGAUGAUUGGAAGUUGAAUCUAACUAGCUAGGAACUGAUUUGAACGGCUGGAAAUUCGUUUGAUUGGGUAGAAAUGAACUUCAAGUGUUCCUUUUCUGUCAAGAUUUCUGUCCGAAAUUAGUCUGAAAUUUCGAACAUGUUGGGAGCUGAUUUGGCCUUAGAUCAAAGAAGGAAAGUUGUAGAUAAUGGUAUUUUAUAGGUGCCUACAAAAUUUCAGCUCAAUCGGAGCAACGUAGGAUGUGAAAAGUCCAAAAUACCCUUACUAUUUUAAGUAUUUCCCAAGCAGUCCGUGUGAUCAGUUAAGUCCAGUUUAUCACGUUUUUCGACUAGGAUCCAUUAUGUUUUAGCUUUUUUCCAAAACAUGAAAGUUGUAGUAUUCUGAAUUAGCUUUCAAAUGCCUCUAAGAACACCUGAUUCGGACUUGUGUACUCUGAGAUAUGUCCAUUACAGUGUUCUGCGUUUAAACAGCCGACGAAUUGGUUUCUGGUUUAGUAAUUUGAGAAUUUGACUAAGUUACAUUAGGAACUGGACUAAGUGACCUUCAUGAAUGUUGUAGCUCUGUGUCUUAGCUUCGAAACGGCAUAGGUUUUGUCUCAAUCCGAUAAGCGUAGCUUCGGAUAUGUUAUUUCCGCAUUCGUACGUCAAAUCUGUCUUGUGCUAAGUUGAAUUUCUGCACUUGUGAUUGUUGUAAUUCUUAUUCUUAUGAUAUUGUGAGCCUAUGGAACGGCUCUUGACUUGAAUUUCUUAUGUGUGAUGUUGGGUUGUGGUUGAGGAAAAAUAAUGAAGCCAAAAUGGCUGGAAAAUUAGGUAAACACAAAGGGCGUGCUGCCCAAAUUUUCGCUCGAGGGCUAGGUUUCUAUUUGAACUUGUAUACUUUUGUUUGGCCAAUACCAUGACCGGUUUUCCAUUUUAAAACAUGAUUUUUCAUCCUGGGGUUCAAACAACCCUCUUCUUACUUGAAAGCCAUCUUUACACGUUUUACUCCUAAUUAGUCGGGUUUCUUUGUUUCCAUUGUAAAUGUUUUGCUCGAUAAACUGUAAUAUGUUCUCUUGUUCAACCUUAGGUUUCAUUGGUGACUAAGGGUAAUAUCCGGAAGGAUAUUUUGCACGUUAUUUUGCAUAUCUAGGUGAGUGUUCCUUAUUUGACUUUAUGGCUUGUUGUUAUCAUUUGCUAAUGUGUUAAUUGCUUUUAAUGAUUUCCAAAACGAGCUUUCUAGGCGAGUGUGUACUUUAUCGCACUCGACCUAAAUAACUAUGCAAUUUUCAAGGAUUUAAUGGUUGAAAUGUUACUUGCGCAUGAAUGUAAGCCUUUUGGGCUGAACUGGCCAUUGCCCUUGUUACCGGUCGUCUCGAGCCAGAAGCGGACUCGGUCGGACGAUUAGGGACUUGGGUGAACGUUUGGUAUACUCGAGUAUUACCCUAUAGGUUGGUGGAGACUGGCCAACGACCAGGACGGGGGUGAAUGAAUGAAUGAACGAACGAACGAACGAACGAGGGUUUAUUGAUAAACGAAAAAUGCAUUUUCAAAUGAUUGGAGGAAUAAGGGGAAAUGUCAGGAGAACGAAUGAACGAAUGAACGAAUUGCUCCUUGUGAGCCGUAUCCUUUUAAUGAAUGUUACUAUUGCUUUCCAUUGUAAAUGUUUCUUGAAUUAUUGAUACUCCAUGUUUAAUGUAUUGAAUUGAUUGUUUGAUUGUUUGAUUAUCUGUUUGGAACCUCACUGAGCUUUUAGCUCACCCCUUUAGUUUUGUUUUCCUUAACAGGGGACGGCGAGCAGGAUGAGAGCAUAGACUAGCCUAGUCUAGGUCUUUUGUUUCUU
rnacentral:lncRNA from 1 species